rnacentral:lncRNA from 1 species
UAGGACACAAUAUCCAUACAAUCAAAUAAUGAAUCAUUCUCUCUUCAACCUUGAAACCACCAACAACCAGUUGCCUACGGUUAGUCUGCUGUUCAGGAUGGCGUAAGAAGGAUUGAAAAGCCAUCAGUCAGUUGAAGUCUGGAAUUCCAAGAUGAACUUUCACAACAUCAUCCCUAAUGGUCAAUUGAGCAACAUUGGUCCACACAUCAUCAUCCAAAAUUAUGCGAUCGCCUUUCACUUUGGUGGAUAUAAUCCCG